rnacentral:rRNA from 1 species
CCUACGGGAGGCAGCAGUGGGGGAUAUUGCACAAUGGGGGGAACCCUGAUGCAGCGACGCCGCGUGGGUGAAGGAGCGUUUCGGCGCGUAAAGCCCUAUCGGCAGGGAAGAAGAUGACGGUACCUGACCAAGAAGCCCCGGCUAACUACGUGCCAGCAGCCGCGGUAAUACGUAGGGGGCAAGCGUUAUUCGGAUUUACUGGGUGUAAAGGGGGGGCUGAGGGGAAUGCAAGCGAGGAGUGAAAGCCCCGGGCCCAACCCCGGGAGUGCUCUGGGAACUGGAUGGCUGGAGUACAGGAGGGGCAGGCGGAAUGCGGGGGGUAGCGGUGAAAUGCAUAGAUAUUAGGAAGAACACCGGUGGCGAAGGCGGCAUGCAGGACUGUGACUGACGUUGAAGCACGAAGGCGUGGGGAGCGAACAGGAUUAGAUACCCCUGUAGUC